ACUCAAAUGAAUUGACGGGGGCCCGCACAAGCGGUGGAGCAUGUGGUUUAAUUCGAUGCAACGCGAAGAACCUUACCUAGGCUUGACAUGGGGCCGCGACGCCGGGAAACCGGCGCCCCUCCUCGGAGGCGGCCCACACAGGUGGUGCAUGGUUGUCGUCAGCUCGUGUCGUGAGAUGUUGGGUUAAGUCCCGCAACGAGCGCAACCCCUAUCUUUAGUUCCCAGCGGGUAAAGCCGGGCACGCUAGAGAGACUGCCGUGGACAACACGGAGGAAGGUGGGGAUGAUGUCAAAUCAUCAUGCCCCUUACGUCUAGGGCUACACACGUGCUACAAUGGGCUCUACAAAGUGAAGCGAAGCCGCGAGGCGGAGCGGACCACAAAAAGAGCCCCCAGUUCGGAUUGAAGUCUGCAACCCGACUUCAUGAAGUUGGAAUCGCUAGUAAUCGCGAAUCAGCAUGUCGCGGUGAAUACGUUCCCGGGCCUUGUACACACCGCCCGU
rnacentral:rRNA from 1 species